rnacentral:ncRNA from 2 species
UUGGCGACAUUGCUCCGAGCGUCUCGUCCUAAAGCGCCGUCAGGCGCCAGGGCCGACCGCCGCGCCGGCGCCCGCCGGCAAGGGUUGCGGGGGAAACCCCGCCGCCUCCCGCGCUUGGAAAGGAGCCCGCGUUGGGACGUC